rnacentral:rRNA from 1 species
ACAGGAGGCGACAGUAGGGAAUAUUCCGCAAUGGGCGAAAGCCUGACGGAGCGACGCCGCGUGAGCGAUGAAGGUCUUCGGAUCGUAAAGCUCUGUUGUUAGGGAAGCACAAGUACCGGAGUAACUGCCGGUACCUUGUACGGUACCUAACCAGAAAGCCCCGGCUAACUACGUGCCAGCAGCCGCGGUA